GGUCCCCUCUUGCCGGCUCUCUGGACCCUCAGCUGUCACAGCGGCCCGGGCCGAGGUGGGCAGGAGACCCGGCCGGACAGCUUAGCUCGCGCCUGCCGGGGACUCCGUGGAGCGGCUGCCGACCCCGUGCCCGCUCCCUCUGCCUCCACUUCCCCAGAAUCCCAGCGUCGCCCCGGUCCGGGAACGCCCGGCAUUGUUGCCGAGGGCCACUCUUAUAGAUGUCGUAUUUCAAAUACUCCCCUCCGCGAAAAUAGCUUGAGACGGUCGCCGGCUCUCCGAAAACACCCAAACCUGCCCCCACCUCCCUCCCAAAAAAAGAAAAGGAAGGAGGAGAGGGGCCGAGCUCCCAGUGCGCAGGGCCGGGCGCCCGGCUCCCUGCGGGUGCGGCAGGUGCGGAGCGGCUGCUGCGCCCGAGUGCCGGCGACCCAGCAGGUGCGAGCGGUGGGGCUGGGGGUCCCCGCCUCCCCACCCGACCCCGGCCCCGCGUCUCACCUGCGCCACCGAGGCCGGCGCACCGCAGCUCGGCCCGGCCGCCGCGGGCGCUUCCUGCUCGCGACUUCCUGGAGCGGCGCGCUGGAGGCCCCGCCGCCCUUUCACUUUCCCCAGCCCGCGGGGCUCUGGCAGGGCCGUGGGGCUCCUCCCCUUCCCCAGCCGCCCCGACCCCAGGCCCCGGCCCCGGUCCCGGCCCCGGCGCGCCCAGAGUCGCACCCGUCCCGGGGCCACCGGACGGGGGCGCCUCCAAAUCUUGCGGUGCUGCCUGUCCUCUGCGGGCGCCCCCGGGUCAUGGCCGGCACCUUCCCUGGCUCCGAAGGCGCACAAGCUGUCGCUGGCGCGCUCCCCACCGCCUCCGGGCAAUCCCCGGCGGCGUCUGCACCGCUGGUGCUCUGUCCUCCAGGAGGGUCUUCCCCACAGGCGGCGAGGGUCAUACGCCGCCGCUCCCCACCCCCAAAGAGGGCCUUUCCUUGGCCUCCCGGUUUUUAUUCCUAUUGUGUCUUCUCAAGGGGCACAAUCGUGGAGACUAGCACUCCACAGCAUGGAAAUGGGCACGCGGAUAUGGCUCUGUCGAACCAACCUGUAAGCCAACUUGUGUCGCACCUCGUAGGCAUGUGA
rnacentral:lncRNA from 13 species